rnacentral:rRNA from 1 species
CCUACGGGGGGCAGCAGUGAGGAAUAUUGGUCAAUGGACGAGAGUCUGAACCAGCCAAGCAGCGUGAAGGAUGACUGUCCUAUGGGUUGUAAACUUCUUUUAUAUGGGAAUAAAACGUUCCACGUGUGGGAUUUUGUAUGUACCAUAUGAAUAAGGAUCGGCUAACUCCGUGCCAGCAGCCGCGGUAAUACGGAGGAUCCGAGCGUUAUCCGGAUUUAUUGGGUUUAAAGGGAGCGUAGGGGGAUUGUUAAGGCAGUUGUGAAAGUUUGCGGCUCAACCGUAACAUUGCAGUUGAAACUGGCAGUCUUGAGUACAGGAGAGGUGGGCGGAAGUCGAGGUGUAGCGGUGAAAUGCUUAGAUAUAACGAAGAACUCCGAUUGCGAAGGCAGUUCACUGGACUGCAACUGACACUGAGGCUCGAAAGUGUGGGUAUCAAACAGGAUUAGAUACCCGAGUAGUC